GACGAACGCUGGCGGCGUGCUUAACACAUGCAAGUCGAACGGAAAGGCCCUGCUUUUGUGGGGUGCUCGAGUGGCGAACGGGUGAGUAACACGUGAGUAACCUGCCCUUUACUUUGGGAUAACUUCAGGAAACUGGUGCUAAUACCGGAUAGGAGCUCCUGCUGCAUGGUGGGGGUUGGAAAGUUUCGGCGGUUGGGGAUGGACUCGCGGCUUAUCAGCUUGUUGGUGGGGUAGUGGCUUACCAAGGCUUUGACGGGUAGCCGGCCUGAGAGGGUGACCGGCCACAUUGGGACUGAGAUACGGCCCAGACUCCUACGGGAGGCAGCAGUGGGGAAUAUUGCACAAUGGGCGGAAGCCUGAUGCAGCAACGCCGCGUGCGGGAUGACGGCCUUCGGGUUGUAAACCGCCUUCGCCUGUGACGAAGCGUGAGUGACGGUAAUGGGUAAAGAAGCACCGGCUAACUACGUG
rnacentral:rRNA from 1 species